UACGUAGGGGGCAAGCGUUGUCCGGAAUUAUUGGGCGUAAAGAGCGUGUAGGCGGCCAGGUAGGUCUGCUGUGAAAACUCGAGGCUCAACCUCGAGAUGUCGGCGGAAACCAUCUGGCUAGAGUCCGGAAGAGGAGAGUGGAAUUCCUGGUGUAGCGGUGAAAUGCGCAGAUAUCAGGAAGAACACCCGUGGCGAAGGCGGCUCUCUGGGACGGUACUGACGCUGAGACGCGAAAGCGUGGGGAGCAAACAGG
rnacentral:rRNA from 1 species